rnacentral:rRNA from 1 species
GAUGAACGCUGGCGGCGUGCCUAAUACAUGCAAGUCGAGCGGACGGACGAGAAGCUUGCUUCUCUGAUGUUAGCGGCGGACGGGUGAGUAACACGUUGAUAACCUACCUAUAAGACUGGGAUAACUUCGGGAAACCGGAGCUACUACCGGAUGAUAUUUUGAACCGCAUGAUUCAAAAGUGAAAGACGGUCUUGCUGUCACUUAUAGAUGGAUCCGCGCUGCAUUAGCUAGUUGGUAAGGUAACGGCUUACCAAGGCAACGAUGCAUAGCCGACCUGAGAGGGUGAUCGGCCACACUGGAACUGAGACACGGUCCAGACUCCUACGGGAGGCAGCAGUAGGGAAUCUUCCGCAAUGGGCGAAAGCCUGACGGAGCAACGCCGCGUGAGUGAUGAAGGUCUUCGGAUCGUAAAACUCUGUUAUUAGGGAAGAACAUAUGUGUAAGUAACUGUGCACAUCUUGACGGUACCUAAUCAGAAAGCCACGGCUAACUACGUG